UUUGACUUAAACUUAUACAGUUUCUCGUCAUACAAAUACAAUUCAUAAUUAUAAAAAAUACAAAAAUAUACAGGUCAAAAUAAUAACUUAUAUAAAUUCUGAGGGUGGUCCUAAGCAUGAACUUCUUUCUAUCGUGUAUAAACUACAGUUUCUCGUCAUACCAAUACAAUUCGUAAUUAUAAUAUAUACAAAAAAUACAGAUCAAAAUCUAAGUAAUAAAUUAUAUAAAUUCUGCGGGUGGUCCUAAGAAUGAACUUCUUUCAAUCGUAUAUAAACUAACACAAAGAGAAAAACAAAAAAUAGUAGUCACAGUAGCUAAUACAAUUUAAGUAAUGUAGGCCUAUCAUUAUUAACAAGAUUCAUUGAUUAAAUAUUUUUACUACUAGAUCGUAUGCAGUAGCCAAUCGAAAUAUCUGUACUAAAUUUGUAUUACACAACUAUAGUAAUCAGUACCAUAUAAGGAAAUCCAAUAAUCAGGUCGUGCGCACCUGGUGUUUGAGUGGAGCGCAUGGGAUCAUAAACAAGCGGAUGUUUUGUUUGAAGGAAAAAUUGACUUAAAACUCAGGUAAGUAAUUGUGAGAGGUACAAAAUGUAAAUGUUUUAAAUUUUUAAAUUGUCUUUUUGUCUCACACUUUCAUAGAAAGUGAUAAAAUAUCAUUUUGCUUCCGUCUCACCAGGGUCGCGUGGUACAGUGCAACACGUGUUUAUAAUUAUGGUAACACAUAUGUCAAAUCCGUCAUACACUGUCACCAGAUUACCAAUAGAUGGACUAACUAUGCUCCAUUUAGAUGUACAUAUAUGACAGAUUAGAUUUACAUCCAUUAUUAUGAUUUAUAAUUAUAAUGUAUAUAUUUUUAUGUACAGUCAAAUUUCAUUAAAACAGUAAACACAUUUGUCCAUAAUGUCAUAAAAAGAAGAAAUAGAUCUAGCACAUUAAUAAUUUGUACAUGCUUUCUGUUACAGAAUAUGAUCUCCAGAGUUGUGUAUUUGACUGUUUACUGUAAAGAUGGAUAAUUAUACAAGAUCUUAAAUGGUUUAGAUCUACAAAGUUGGGAUGAUAAGUUUGUGCAGUAACGGAGUUGGCGAUCAAUUCUAUUCCGAGAAUACCGGUCAGUUUCAACACGUAGUUUAUGGGAUGACAGUCUUAACCUUGACAGAGCAAUUCGAUGUUUGACAGGCAAUAAAUUAAGCAAAUCUAAACUAUUCUGAAGGUCUUGUGGUGUUUUACCAAAGAUGACCAUAUCAUCUGCGAACAACAUCAGUAUAAAGGUAAUAUCAUCUAUCGUUA